rnacentral:rRNA from 1 species
UACGGAGGGGGCGAGCGUUGUUCGGAAUCACUGGGCGUAAAGCGCACGCAGGCGGCUUGAUAAGUCAGGGGUGAAAUCCCGGGGCUCAACCUCGGAAUUGCCUUUGAUACUGUCUGUCUUGAGUCCGGGAGAGGUGAGUGGAAUUCCUAGUGUAGAGGUGAAAUUCGUAGAUAUUAGGAAGAACACCAGUGGCGAAGGCGGCUCACUGGCCCGGUACUGACGCUCAUGUGCGAAAGCGUGGGGAGCAAACAGG